AUGACAAGAACGCCAACGCGCCUGUUAAUGAUAAUCGUGAUGAUUUUGGAUAGUAGAGCGAGUGGAACGAAGACGAAUGGUGGUGAUAGUAGUGAUAAUGAAGCUGAGAGUAGUGUUAAUGAGAGUGGAGAUAGUAUGCAGAGGAGGGAAGGGAUGAAGAGGAGUGCUGGAGGUGAUAUUGCACCUACUACAAGACACUAUAGGAGUCUGUCCAUGGAUAGUUUCAUUGGGAAGUUGAAUUUCAAUGAUGAGUCUUCUAAGCUUCCGCCUUCACCUGGUGGAUUGAUGUCUCCUGGAAUUCGGGGGAUGGGAAUGCCGCGGCUUUUAGCUUGGAGUUUGGGAAUGGUGAGUUCAGUGGGCCGGAAUUGA